CCUACGGGAGGCAGCAGUGAGGAAUAUUGGUCAAUGGACGCGAGUCUGAACCAGCCAAGUAGCGUGAAGGAUGACUGCCCUAUGGGUUGUAAACUUCUUUUAUAUGGGAAUAAAAUGUUCCACGUGUGCGUUUUUGUAUGUACCAUAUGAAUAAGGAUCGGCUAACUCCGUGCCAGCAGCCGCGGUAAUACGGAGGAUCCGAGCGUUAUCCGGAUUUAUUGGGUUUAAAGGGAGCGUAGGUGGAUUGGUAAGUCAGUUGUGAAAGUUUGCGGCUCAACCGUAAAAUUGCAGUUGAAACUGGCAGUCUUGAGUACAGUAGAGGGAGGCGGAAUUCGUGGUGUAGCGGUGAAAUGCUUAGAUAUCACGAAGAACUCCGAUUGCGAAGGCAGCUCACUGGACUGCAACUGACACUGAGGCUCGAAAGUGUGGGUAUCAAACAGGAUUAGAUACCCUUGUAGUC
rnacentral:rRNA from 1 species